UGGGAUUAUGUAAUUCUUGUUUGCUGCUG
rnacentral:piRNA from 1 species